rnacentral:rRNA from 1 species
GGCGGACGGGUGAGUAACGCGUAGGAAUAUGUCCAGAGGUGGGGGACAACCCCGGGAAACUGGGGCUAAUACCGCAUAUGAGCUGAGGCUCAAAGCAGUGAUGCGCCUUUGGAGUAGCCUGCGUCCGAUUAGCUUGUUGGUGGGGUAAUGGCCUACCAAGGCGACGAUCGGUAGCUGGUCUGAGAGGACGACCAGCCACACUGGGACUGAGACACGGCCCAGACUCCUACGGGAGGCAGCAGUGGGGAAUAUUGGACAAUGGGCGCAAGCCUGAUCCAGCAAUUCCGCGUGGGUGAAGAAGGUCUUCGGAUUGUAAAGCCCUUUCGACGGGGACGAUGAUGACGGUACCCGUAGAAGAAGCCCCGGCUAACUUCGUGCCAGCAGCCGCGGUAAUACGAAGGGGGCUAGCGUUGCUCGGAAUUACUGGGCGUAAAGGGCGCGUAGGCGGCUUAGUUAGUCAGGCGUGAAAUUCCUGGGCUCAACCUGGGGACUGCGCUUGAUACGGCUAGGCUAGAGGAUGGAAGAGGGUCGCGGAAUUCCCAGUGUAGAGGUGAAAUUCGUAGAUAUUGGGAAGAACACCGGUGGCGAAGGCGGCGACCUGGUCCAUUACUGACGCUGAGGCGCGACAGCGUGGGGAGCAAACAGGAUUAGA